AAUGCUAUGUAAACCAGCUUCUAUAUCUCUACCCCAGAUUCAUAUAAGUAUUGCAGCAAAGAACUAUUGCCAUUAACAAUAGAGCUAACCAGAGUUUACUUUGUAAAACUACCAAUGUAACCCAAAUAUUCCAAGUUGCAUUGCAUUUCCCAAACAUGUGUGUGUGUUGUAUAGGUUUCAGAAUAGUCUAUAUUUGCAGUAUCACAGUUGUAAAGUGUAAAACUAAGAAUAGGUUGGUGGGUAGAACAUUCUUAUAUUCCUCUCAGUUUAGAAACAUGGAAGUUAACUCUAAAUUGUUUAACGUGAGAGGAGCUUUAUUAAUGUGGUAGGGCAAUUGUAUGUAGGGCAACUGUAUGUAUUGGGAUCAGAUGACAUUUUGUAUGAUGAAUAUAAAUUCUUAAAAUAAUUGGAAAAUAUAAAUAUACCAGUGAGGAAGCUAAAUAUACAAACAUGAUACAGCUGUAGAUUUCUUCUGUUGCUCUCUCUCUCUCUCUCUCUCUCUCUCUCUCUCUCUCUCUCUCUCUCUCUCGUGUGUGUGCAUAUAUGCAACUAUUUCUUGUAGAGGAGCUAGAAUACUUAAUGGAAAAGAAACCUUAAUAAUGACUAUGUUCUCCAACAAAAUAGAGUUGGCUGUAAGACAGGCAUGUUCAGCCUAAGCAAGCGCACAGCUAGGGGUCCUGAGAAGUAUUCUAUGCUUCAUGAGAAAAUCCUGGUCUUUUUCCUUUCCCUCUUCUUGUGCCACCAGACUAAUAUAAUUAGCAGCCAUGUUAAUGCAGAGAUAGAACAAAAACAAAGGAGAAAGACAAUUAAUUGUUCUAAUGGAGUGAAAUAGUAAAAGCCUGUAGGGCAUAAGAGAUUCUUGUUCAUUGCUGUGUUGUAGAGAUAUUUAUGCAAUCUGACAUAAAGUAACUCUUUGCAAAGUGUUGUGGAACACCUAUGAGUGGAAGUACAUGUUUCACUCUAUGUUUAUAGAUACAAAAUUUUGGCACAUCUUUGGGUUAGUCUGGGAAAAUUUUAUUUUACAUAAAAACCAUAUUCCCAGCCUAAGUUUUGACUUGUUGUAUCAUUGGCUGGCAGAGAGAUUCCAGUUUUGUUGACUUCUGAAAUGUUCAGUGUGUUGAGACUUUUAUGCCUGCUUUACUUUCAUAAACACAACCUGAGAUUUGUUAAAACUACUGGAAGCCAAAGAUACCUAAGAUUAAAUUCUCUUUUUAUUAAAUAACUUAAGUUUCUAAAAGCAUUAAUCUGUAAUCUUAUAAAUUGAGUGUUGUGUUUCAGUUGAAAAAUUACAUCAAUUUAUAGCUAAUCUUAGAAAAGGAUGUAGUAUUGUUAAGUACUGUAGAAACAGAGACCUCAUUUGUCUCAUUAUUUUCAAAGCAGAUGUGGUAUUUUGGACAUUUGACAUGUGAAGAACAGGUUCAUAAGCUCCAGAGGCAUUUUUCUAGCCAGGAGUGUAUAUCCUUGCUGUUAAUUAUAUAAAAUAUGUUUUUAAAAUCUCAGUGUUUGACAGAGUGAAGGCAUAAAUAUAUGUUUAUUAUUGUAACAUCUGAAUAUCAGGUCAUAAAAUAAAUGAAAAUUCCGCACCAUGAUAAUUUAAUCUAAAAUUUUAUUCAAUGAGAAAGUGUCCACAAGUAUCAUAAAUUGAAAUUUCCGAGUUGUAUGGUUAAACUCACUUUAGAUAUCAGUGUGAUUUUUGU
rnacentral:lncRNA from 1 species